UACGUAGGGUGCGAGCGUUGUCCGGAAUUAUUGGGCGUAAAGCGUGCGCAGGCGGUUGUGCAAGACAGAUGUGAAAUCCCCGGGCUUAACCUGGGAAUUGCAUUUGUGACUGCACGGCUAGAGUGUGUCAGAGGGGGGGUAGAAUUCCACGUGUAGCAGUGAAAUGCGUAGAUAUGUGGAGGAAUACCGAUGGCGAAGGCAGCCCCCUGGGAUAACACUGACGCUCAUGCACGAAAGCGUGGGGAGCAAACAGG
rnacentral:rRNA from 1 species